rnacentral:tRNA from 1 species
GUCUCGCAUAGCUUAAACACCUAAAGCAGCGACCUUGUAAAUCGAAAAUGGGACACUGUCCCUCGAGACA